rnacentral:misc_RNA from 1 species
AACGCAUAUUGCACUCCUUUGGAGUAUGCCUGUUUGAGAAUCUAUAGUAAAUAUUCUUGGUGAUAUCUUUGAUAUUGGUCAAGAGAUUUGAAGAUUCCCCAGCUCCCUAGGGAGAGGGGGUUCUUUAAAAUAGAUUGCCUGGCUGGUUGCUUGAAGUGUCUGACGCUUUUCUAUCAACCCUGCAGAACCGUAUGUGAAUAGAACCCCGGUUUCUCAUAAUGCCAACUAUGUGGAGGGAAAGGCUUAGUUUCGAGCAGUUGUCCGGGUCCGUACCUAUAAAGUAGUCUGCAAAGGCUGCUUGAACCCAUGGUCUCAAAUCAGGUAGGAAGACCCGCUGAACUUAA